GACGAACGCUGGCGGCGUGCCUAAUACAUGCAAGUCGAACGAGAGCGACCGGUGCUUGCACUGGUCAAUCUAGUGGCGAACGGGUGAGUAACACGUGAGUAACCUGCCCAUCAGAGGGGGAUAACAUCCGGAAACGGAUGCUAAAACCGCAUAGGUCUUCGAACCGCAUGGUUUGAAGAGGAAAAGAGGCGCAAGCUUCUGCUGAUGGAUGGACCCGCGGUGCAUUAGCUAGUUGGUGAGGUAACGGCUCACCAAGGCCGUGAUGCAUAGCCGACCUGAGAGGGUGAUCGGCCACAUUGGGACUGAGACACGGCCCAAACUCCUACGGGAGGCAGCAGUAGGGAAUCUUCCGCAAUGGACGCAAGUCUGACGGAGCAACGCCGCGUGAGUGAAGAAGGUGUUCGGAUCGUAAAACUCUGUUGUUAGAGAAGAACAAGUGCUAGAGUAACUGUUAGCGCCUUGACGGUAUCUAACCAGAAAGCCACGGCUAACUACGUG
rnacentral:rRNA from 1 species